CCUACGGGAGACAGCAGUGAGGAAUAUUUGUCAAUGGACGCAAGUCUGAACCAGCCAUGCCGCGUGCAGGCAGACGGCUCUAUGAGUUGUAAACUGCUUUUGUACGAGGGUAAACGCAGAUACGCGUAUCUGUCUGAAAGUAUCGUACGAAUAAGGAUCGGCUAACUCCGUGCCAGCAGCCGCGGUAAUACGGAGGAUUCAAGCGUUAUCCGGAUUUAUUGGGUUUAAAGGGUGCGUAGGCGGUCGGAUAAGUUAGAGGUGAAAUCCCGAGGCUCAACUUCGGAAUUGCCUCUGAUACUGUUCGGCGAGAGAGUAGUUGCGGUAGGCGGAAUGUAUGGUGUAGCGGUGAAAUGCUUAGAGAUCAUACAGAACACCGAUUGCGAAGGCAGCUUACCAAGCUACUUCUGACGUUGAGGCACGAAAGCGUGGGGAGCAAACAGGAUUAGAUACCCCUGUAGUC
rnacentral:rRNA from 1 species